rnacentral:rRNA from 1 species
GGGAUUACCCGCUGAACUUAAGCAUAUCAAUAAGCGGAGGAAAAGAAACUAACAAGGAUUCCCCUAGUAACGGCGAGUGAAGAGGGAAAAGCCCAAAUUUGUAAUCUGGCUCUUUUAGAGUCCGAGUUGUAAUUUUGAGAACUGUUUUCAGUGCUGGACCAUGUUUAAGUCUGUUGAAAAACAGCAUCAUUGAGGGUGAUAAUCCCGUUCAUGAUAUGGACUACCAGUACUUUAUGAUACAGUCUCUAAGAGUCGAGUUGUUUGGGAAUGCAGCUCAAAGUGGGUGGUAAAUUCCAUCUAAGGCUAAAUAUAGGUGAGAGACCGAUAGCAAACAAGUACCGUGAGGGAAAGAUGAAAAGAACUUUGGAAAGAGAGUUAACAGUACGUGAAAUUGCUGAAAGGGAAACAAUUGAAGUUAGCCUUGUUAUUGUCAGUUCAGCUCUUUUAGAGUGUAUUCUGAUGAUUAACGACCAACAUCAGUCUUUGAGUGCUGGAUAAGGGUUUUGGAAAUGUAGCAGUCUCGGCUGUGUUAUAGUCCAUUACUUUGAUACAGUGCUUGGGAUUGAGGAUCGCAGUAAGCCAUUUUAUGGUGGACCAAAUUUUUGGUCUUCUUACUGAGGAUGUUGGUGAAAUAGCU